CGUGUAGGCGGUCGGGUAAGUCAGAUGUGAAAUCCCUUGGCUUAACCAAGGAAGGGCAUUUGAAACUGCCCGGCUUGAGUACGGGAGGGGGAAGUGGAAUUCCCGGUGUAGAGGUGAAAUUCGUAGAUAUCGGGAGGAACACCGGUGGCGAAGGCGGCUUCCUGGACCGAUACUGACGCUGAGACGCGAAAAGCGUGGGGAGCAAACAGGAUUAGAUACCCUGGUAGUCCACGCCGUAAACUUUGGGCACUUGGUGUUGCGGGUAUUGACCCCUGCAGUGCCGAAGCUAACGCAUUAAGUGCCCCGCCUGGGGAGUACGGCCGCAAGGUUAAA
rnacentral:rRNA from 1 species